rnacentral:rRNA from 1 species
UACGUAGGGGGCAAGCGUUGUCCGGAUUUAUUGGGCGUAAAGAGCGUGUAGGCGGCCGCACAGGUCCGUUGUGAAAACUGGAGGCUUAACCUUCAGACGUCGAUGGAAACCGUGCGGCUAGAGUCCGGAAGAGGAGAAUGGAAUUCCUGGUGUAGCGGUGAAAUGCGCAGAUAUCAGGAAGAACACCCGUGGCUAAGGCGGGUCUCUGGGGUAGUAACUGACGCUGAGGAACGAAAAGCAUGGGGGAGCGAAACAGG